rnacentral:tRNA from 1 species
GGCGCUGUGGCUCAAGUGGUAGAGCGUCAGCCUUGAAGAGCUGAGGGACAGCGCCC